AAAGAGAAGAUCGGGAGACAAAGUCUGGGGAGAGCCAAAAUACAUAUUCAACCGAAACAGCUGGCAGCAUGCGCAAAUGCCAAAGCAAGGCUGGGCGACGCACAGAAGGGGCAGCCAUUAAUGGACAGCGGUUAGGGAGGAGACUGUGGAAGGUACGAAGGCCAUGGCAUAAGCCGACAUGCAGGGAAGAAGAGACACCUCUCCAUCCGAAGCUCUCCGAACACUGAAAAAGAAUGAUGUCCCUUUCAACUACUUCGGGAACGCAGGAUGCUUGGAUCCGUGGACAGAGAGGGCCGACUGUACCUCCUUCAAGCCCCGAAUGGGGAGCAUUUGGAUGAAAACCACAACCUGAGUCACCAGACCCAUCUGCUGCAAAAAAAAGCUUUAGAAAUCUGUGUUUCCUUUUCUUUUGCAACUCCUACUAAGUCCCCACCCCAUAUGUUCGGAUCUUGUUUCUUCCUCUGUUUUGCAUUGUGCAGAAAUGUGGCAGUGUGUAUUUUGUGUGCCGGUGUGACAUUACAGUGGCCAAA